rnacentral:snRNA from 1 species
GUGCCCAACUGCGCGCUA